rnacentral:misc_RNA from 1 species
GGAAAGCAUGUGCAUUGGGAUGGAUGGGAAUAAUAACAUGUAGUAUAGUACAAUGAUAUAAAUAAAGUACUUAUUUUGCACAUACCAGGCAACUAUCCAAGCAAUGUUAAACAGGAGAACUAUCCAAGCAAUGUUAAAACAGGAGAAGAGAGCUCACAAUAUUUGGGCACAACAAAUAAAGCAAAAUAUGUUUGUAAAACAAGUUAAAAGUUAGGAGGGUUACAGUAUUCAUAUUUCCUUCUCUCCUUAAAACUUUCUUCUUUCAACCAAAAAGAAAUUAGAUACUGAAUAAUUUACUUACAUCCUCAGAACCAGUAAAUGGCCG